CUUCAUGGUAGCCAUUUUGCUGACAUUCUCAAGUCACCGAGCUUUGAAGGCUAAUGUACUUCUUGUCCACAGGUUGUGGAGGUGGAAGAUUAGUUUGAGGUGUGCAGGUGGGGGCAGGGAGAAGUCACACAUGGGAAGUACCAGGUUAAGGACAGGGUGAAAUUGAAGAUCCUUCAUGCAUCUAGUUCCCAUUUUUCCAAGAACAAAAUGGAGAAUAGUUGCCAGUGCCAGUGGGGACCUGGAUUUUGGAGACAUCUGGGCACACUCGAAACCAAACUUAGAACCAACUAGGUUCUACUUCAACCAAAGACUCACCAAUUCAUUUCAACAUUCUCUGAGCUCUACAUCCUCUCCUCCUCUCAAGGGAUAUAGAAGGUUGAAAACAAAGUUCCUCCCUGAUGUUAAGAAGCUGAAUUUAUACAUUUUUGAUUUGGCUCCUGGAAAAUGUUGGAAGCUGGUUACUUCAUCUGAGGAUAUGAUGGUGAAUGCCUAAACAAACAAAAAGCCACCUUGAAAGGGGACAGGAUCAUCCAGAAUCUAGACAUGGGAUGUGUUCAUGGCAUUUAACCUAGCCAGGCAGUUGGUGUGGGCUCCAAAUCAUAACCCCACACCUGCAUGUCCCCUGAUAUCAGCACAAGCCAAUAUGGCUGUAGCUGUGGCCUUGACCCCACACAGCUUGGCCAAAUACCAAAGACUGAUUAAUUCAUCAGAAGACCCAAACCACUAGUGAGUAAUAAAGAUGCUUUUGGCUUACUAUUUUAAGAGUUU
rnacentral:lncRNA from 1 species